GACGAACGCUGGCGGCGUGCUUAACACAUGCAAGUCGAACGAAGUGGCGAACGGGUGAGUAACGCGUAAUCAACCUGCCCUUCCGAGGGGGACAACAGUUGGAAACGACAGCUAAUACCGCAUAAGGAAGGCGGGGGUUGCGUUUGAUUUGCUAGUUGGAUGGGGAACGGCCCACCAAGGCGAUGAUCAGUAGCCGGUCUGAGAGGAUGAACGGCCACAUUGGGACUGAGACACGGCCCAGACUCCUACGGGAGGCAGCAGUGGGGAAUCUUCCGCAAUGGACGGAAGUCUGACGGAGCAACGCCGCGUGAGUGAUGACGGCCUUCGGGUUGUAAAGCUCUGUUAAUCGGGACGCGGUACCGGAAUAGAAAGCCACGGCUAACUACGUGCCAGCAGCCGCGGUAAUAC
rnacentral:rRNA from 1 species